CCGGCGCACGGGUGAGUAACGCGUAUGUAACUUACCUAUCGGAGGGGGAUAACCCGGCGAGGUCGGACUAAUACCGCAUGAAGCAGGGGCCCCGCAUGGGGAUAUUUGCUAAAGAUUCAUCGCUGAUAGAUAGGCAUGCGUUCCAUUAGGCAGUUGGCGGGGUAACGGCCCACCGAACCGACGAUGGAUAGGGGUUCUGAGAGGAAGGUCCCCCACAUUGGUACUGAGACACGGACCAA
rnacentral:rRNA from 1 species